CCCAGGAGGGUAACCUUGACUAUAAGAAGCCCCUGUUGAGAUCGCUCGCUGUGAUUCUGCCCAUCAGAGACAAGUCCUUCACAAUGAAACCACAUCUGUCUCUUGAUGAAGCGUGGCAGCUAGCAGUUCCUCAGCCUUCCUGUGUCCCAGGAAUGGGCUAAGGUACUCUGCAGGCCAUGCAGGCCUGCUUAGAACAAGGUGACAAUAAGGUCAGAGUGGAAGCAGCUCACAACGCCUCCCUCUUCCAGGCAGCUGCCCUUGGGCCGUCAUCCAAGUUGGCAGCAAGAAACUUAACCCGGCCAAGUAAGAAAGUCAGGUGUGUGAGCACGCUCGACAAAGCCCGGCCGUCAUGGCCCAGUCUUCAGCAAAUGUUCCGAAGACUCAUGGCCUCCUGACCCAAUCUAUGUGGUGAACUCGGCAGAGCCGAGCCCAGAGGCAAGGCCACCACCCUCUCCUGCCUCCAGCCAAAUUCAGAGUAUAAAUGUUCAUGCCACAGUAUCACAGGAUUCCCAGCUGAGAAGAGAUACACCUUACCAUAGCAACACAGCACUUCCACUACAGAAACAGGAUGACCAUAAGUGGUGUUAAGACUACAACAGUGAACUGGAGUACAUUCGUUAAAAAUGAUGUGUAGUGGUGGUGCAUGCCUUUAAUCCCAGCACUUGGGAGCCAGAGGCAGAGGCAAGCAGAUUUCUGAGUUCAAGGCCAGGCUGGUCUAUAGAAUGAGUUCCAGGACUGCCAGAGCUACACAGAGAAACCCUGUCUCAGAAAGAAGAAAAAGAAGAAGA
rnacentral:lncRNA from 1 species